rnacentral:rRNA from 1 species
CCAAUAGCGUAUAUUAAAGUUGUUGCAGUUAAAAAGCUCGUAGUUGAAUUUCGGGAUCAAAUUGUCGGUCGUGCCUCGGUUCGUGCUGGCGUUAUUGGUUCCUCCCUUCUGAAGAACCACGAUGUCAUUAAUUUGGUGUCGUGGGGAAUCAGGACUGUUACUUUGAAAAAAUUAGAGUGUUUAAAGCAGGCUCGCGCUUGAAUACAUUAGCAUGGAAUAAUGAAAUAGGACGUUUGAUUCUAUUUUGUUGGUUUCUAGGAUCGACGUAAUGAUUAAUAGGUAUAGUUGGGGGCAUUAGUAUUCAAUUGUCAGAGGUGAAAUUCUUGGAUUUAUUGAAGACUAACUACUGCGAAAGCAUUUGCCAAGGAUGUUUUCAUUAAUCAAGAACGAAAGUUAGGGGAUCGAAGACGAUCAGAUACCGUCGUAGUCUUAACCAUAAACUAUGCCGACUAGGGAUCGGAUGAUGUUAAUUUUUUAAUGACUCAUUCGGCGCCUUACG